rnacentral:lncRNA from 1 species
AUGCCCCAAAGGUAUGUAUAUAUAUAUUUUGUUUUUAAUUUUAUAUAUAUAUAUAUUUUUAUACUUAAUUUAAAUAAAAAGAAAAGAAAAAGAAAUUUAUCUCUCUCUCUCGCGCGCACACAACCCCUCUCUCAUUUUUCUUUUCUUCUCCUUCCGGUACCCUAGCAGCCGCCCACCCAUUUUCCCUAUUCUUCUUCCCGUCCUGCCGCAGCCAACCGCAGUCAGCCGCCCCAUCCGUUCGCACAGCAACUGCCGUCGGCCAUCUCCAUCUUCUCUUUUCCUCUCCGUUCCGUCCAAACCCAGCCGGACGUCGCUGCAACCGUCGGCCGCCAUCUCUGUUCGCGAAGCAAGGCCGCCGCGUGAACCUGUAACCGCCGGCUGUCUCCCCUCUCCUUUCUCCUCUGUUUUCAGCCCAGCCGCCGCCGAUUCCUUCUCCUCCGUCGUCUGCACUGCCGCGCGACUCUCCGGCCAUCUGUAUACGGUCUCUCCGUCGCACGUCAUCUCUUCGCAAAGCCACUGCUCGAUUUCUUUCGCGAAGAUUUGGGUAAGUUGCAAAAAGAUUCACAUUGGGUUGAAUUUAAAUGACUGAUGCGUUGAAGGGAAUUAUUGAGAAAUUGUCUUAAUGUUUAGGUUCGUUCUUCAUAGACUUCAACGUGGUUAAGGAGCUUAACAAAUUUGAAGGUAAGGGAUUUUCUACUGGACUCACUUAUGAUUGUGAAUUGCAUGUCUGAAUGAUUAUCUUUGACUGAGUAAAGAUGUUGAGAUGAUACUUAUGUUUAUACACGUAUGGGUGUAGAUUCGGUGCUGAAUGUACACUGUGGAUUGACUAAAAAUAUAUAUAUAUGCAUAGAAAUUGAAGUAGACUUAAUGUGGAAUGCAUAUUGUGAUUGUCAUGGAGUAUAUAUAUAUAUGUGUGUGGAUGUGGACAGGACGAAAACUGUAGAUUAUGCUUGUAUGAGAUGCAGAUGCGAUCUUGUGAUUGUCGUUUAGAUUGGGUGUCGUUACGCUAAAGUAUGACUGUGUGCUGGUGAUCUGAGGGGUGUAUUGACUGUAUAGUUUGAUUGACUGAUGUAUUAGUAUGUUAUUGACAGACAUAUGACCUAAGUGAGAUAAGUUGACUGUUAGGACGUUGAGAGAAAGAACUCUAUGUUUUGAAGUAUCUGAAGGAUGGGUUGAAUGGAAUGAGGGGAUAGAUUGUUAGGUUGUAUUGGGAUGAUUACCUUGUAGGUGUCCCACGGGAUCACCAAUUUAUUUUGCACCUUCGGGAGCAUUUGACUGAUAUGUGUUCUGCAGAACACUUGACUGAUAUGUGUUCUGCAGAACACUUGACUGAUAUGUACGUCCCUCGGGGCGUCAGACUGAUAUGUACGUCCUUCGGGGCGUUAGACUGAAAUGUGUAUCCUACGGGAUCACAAGACUGCGACUGUACAGGGUGUCCCAAUAGAACUUUAACAAUUUAUUUUCCCCUGACGAGACCAGUAGAGGGUCUCUUACUGAGUAUUGUUAUACUCACCCUUCUUAUGUUUAAUUUUCAGGCAAAGGUAAUAAAGGCGGCAAACCGGCGAGGGGCAGGAAGGAAGCGUGAUGCCAUAGGAAACGUGUAAUUGCUUCCGCUUAUUUAAGAUUGAUUUGAAAUUUAGUUUACAAACGUUUGUUGUAAACAGUAUUAUUUUAUACUUUCUUGAAUGUUUAAAAAUCAGGCCUGACUUGAAGAUGUUUUUUUUUUUUUUUUUUUUAAAUUGCUUAUGUUUUGUUUUAUAUUAAUCAGAGUCUUUUAUUUGUUAAAAACUAACGAUCUCGACUUACU